AUUGAACGCUGGCGGCAGGCCUAACACAUGCAAGUCGAACGAGUGGCGGACGGGUGAGUAAUGUCUGGGAAACUGCCUGAUGGAGGGGGAUAACUACUGGAAACGGUAGCUAAUACCGCCUACCAUCGGAUGUGCCCAGAUGGGCUUAGCUAGUAGGUGGGGUAAUGUCUCACCUAGGCGACGAUACCUAGCUGGUCUGAGAGGAUGACCGGCCACACGGGAACUGAGACACGGUCAAGACGCCUACGGUAGGCAGCAGUGGGGAAUAUUGCACAAUGGGCGCAAGCCUGAGGCAGCCAUGCCGCGUGUAUGAAGAAGGCCUUCGGGUUGUAAAGUACUUUCAGCGAGGAGGCGUUACUCGCAGAAGAAGCACCGGCUAACUCCGUGCCAGCAGCCGCGGUAAUUC
rnacentral:rRNA from 1 species